rfam:Candidatus Sungbacteria bacterium RIFCSPHIGHO2_02_FTLL_52_23 rifcsphigho2_02_scaffold_9848, whole genome shotgun sequence.
UUUAUUGAGGAUUUGAUCCUGGUCCAGGAUGAACGCUGGCGGCGUGGAUAAGGCAUGCAAGUCGAACGGGAUUAGUUUGCGAUUACAUCAAGAGCUAGUCUAGUGGCGAACGAGUUAGUAAUACCCUGGUACUUCCCCUUGAGUCGGGCAUAACGAGCCGAAAGGUUCGCUAAUUCCCGAUAGUUCUCGCAAGAGUAAAGCCCAGCCCUACUUUUGAAUUUUAUAGUAUGAUAAGCGUAUGUGGUGUGUAUAUGUGAUUCAGCAUACUGAAACCAGACAGCAUUAUAUCGGUUCUACCUCUGAUUUGACGAAGAGAGUCGAUCAGCAUAAUCAGGGUAUGACAAAGGCCACACAGAGAAAAGAUGGUCGUUGGAUACUGAUCUAUGCCGAAGCGUACAGAAGCAAGCAAGAUGCGCAGAGGAGAGAACAAAUGCUGAAACACCAUGGUAACGCGAAACAGAAAUUAUUUCUCCGUAUACGAAAUAGUUUUCUUGAAGUUCAAAAGUAGAGCUGGGCGCUUGAGGAAAGGCCUAGGUCCUAUCAGCUAGUUGGCGGGGUAAUGGCCCACCAAGGCUAUGACGGGUAGGGGGCGUGAGAGCGCGACCCCCAACGACGAGACUGAGACACGGCUCGUACACCUACGGGUGGCAGCAGUCAAGAACAUUCGACAAUGGGCGAAAGCCUGAUCGAGCGACGCCGCGUGCAGGAAGAAGGGCUUCGGUCCGUAAACUGCUUUUACAGGGGAGGAACGCAAGUGACUGUACCCUGUGAAUAAGGAGUUGCUAACCUCGUGCCAGCAGCCGCGGUAAUACGAGGACUCCAAGCGUUAUCCGGAUUUAUUGGGCGUAAAGGGUCUCCAGGUGGUUUGGUUAGUCUGAUGUUAAAUUCCGCUGCCUAACGGCGGAGCUGCAUUGGAAACGGCCAGACUAGAGGGAUGGAGAGGGAGUUGGAACUCACGGUGUAGGGGUGAAAUCCGUUGAUAUCGUGGGGAACACCAAAGGCGAAGGCAGACUCCUGGCCAUCUCCUGACACUCAUGAGACGAAAGCGUGGGGAGCAAAAAGGAUUAGAUACCCUUGUAGUCCACGCCCUAAACGAUGCGCGCUCGCUGUUCGGAGUAUCGACCCUCCGAGCGGCUUAGCUUACGCGUGAAGCGCGCCGCCUGGGAAGUACGAGCGCAAGCUUAAAACUCAAAGGAAUAGACGGGGAUUCGCACAAGCGGUGGAUCA